AUAGUCACCCAAACCACAGACCGAUAAAUAAUAUUUUUGUAACUAAGUUAAUUUAAUGCGCCCAACGUUCGUACUUCCGAUACAUCCAAAUGGGCACCAUGCACCAUAUAAUCUACCGCCUGAUUGGCAGCUAGAUUUUCAAUUCAAGCACACGAAAAAUAACUAAGCAAAAAAUAACUAAAAAUAAAUCUACUCUUAUCUUCCUUUUUUGGGGUAGGAGGAAAACCCGGGAUAUUUCACAACAGGCCAUUUCUCCUUGCGUAGAGAAUCGAGCAAUUCUGAUCCAACAUUUAAGUUGCUUUGAACUAAUUCUUUAGGAGUCAGUGCCAUCCAUUGAUUCAGCGACACGUCUUCAAAGCGGUCGCUUUUGAACAUCUCUAAAAACCAUAACGUUUCGGUACCGGUGUUUUGAAUAUAGUGUCCAGUAGCAAAGGGUACAUAUCCGACAUCACCAGCUCUAUAAUCAAAUGUACGAGCUGCACCGUUUCCAGUAAAUACAGUCAUUCGCCCUUGCCCGGUAAGGUAAUACUGCCACUCGUCGUUAUUGGGAUGCCAAUGUAGUUCUCUCAUUCCACCAGGCUCAAUCUCAACGAGUGCUGCUGCGAUUGUUUUUGAAAUUGGGAAGUUAGAAGAGUCCACAAUUCGUACGCUACCACCAGGCGUUUUGAUUGGUGUUUGUUUCAACAGCUCGUGCUUGAAGGUUAAAGGAACUUCUCCGUAGGGUGACUGGACUUCCUGAUUAUCAAGCGAACUGGGUACCUCUCCCUGAUAAAUAUAGACCUGAUCUGAAGGAAGAGAGUUAAAAGCACUCUCUGGUACUCCGAAAUUGGCCGACAGAACAUCUUUUGGAGUAUGUGCAAACCAGUCGGAGAUGGAUAAGGUGGAAAGAUCGGAAAAGUUUCCGUCAUCGAAGACGAGCAGAAAUUCGCAAUGUUCCAACCCUUGAAUCGAAUGUGGGAUACCUGGAGGAAAGUACC
rnacentral:antisense_RNA from 1 species